CCUACGGGAGGCAGCAGUGAGGAAUAUUGGUCAAUGGACGAGAGUCUGAACCAGCCAAGUAGCGUGAAGGAUGACUGCCCUAUGGGUUGUAAACUUCUUUUAUAUGGGACUAAAAUGUUCCACGUGUGGGAUUUUGUAUGUACCAUAUGAAUAAGGAUCGGCUAACUCCGUGCCAGCAGCCGCGGUAAUACGGAGGACCCGAGCGUUAUCCGGAUUUUUUGGGUUUAAAGGGAGCGUAGGUGGAUUGUUAAGUCAGUGGUGAAAGUUUGCGGCUCAACCGUAGAAUUGCAGUUGAAACUGGCAGUCUUGAGUGCAGUAGAGGUGGGCGGAAUGCGUGGUGUAGCGGUGAAAUGCUUAGAUAUCACGAAGAACUCCGAUUGCGAAGGCAGCUCACUGGACUGCAACUGACACUGAGGCUCGAAAGUGUGGGUAUCAAACAGGAUUAGAUACCCCAGUAGUC
rnacentral:rRNA from 1 species